rnacentral:rRNA from 1 species
GACGAACGCUGGCGGCGUGCUUAACACAUGCAAGUCGAACGAUGAAGCCUAGCUUGCUGGGUGGAUUAGUGGCGAACGGGUGAGUAACACGUGAGUAACCUGCCCCUUACUCUGGGAUAAGCGCUGGAAACGGCGUCUAAUACUGGAUAUUACCUUUCAUCGCAUGGUGUUUGGUGGAAAGAUUUUUCGGUUUGGGAUGGACUCGCGGCCUAUCAGCUUGAUGGUGAGGUAGUGGCUCACCAUGGCGACGACGGGUAGCCGGCCUGAGAGGGUGACCGGCCACACUGGGACUGAGACACGGCCCAGACUCCUACGGGAGGCAGCAGUGGGGAAUAUUGCACAAUGGGCGCAAGCCUGAUGCAGCAACGCCGCGUGAGGGAUGACGGCCUUCGGGUUGUAAACCUCUUUUAGUAGGGAAGAAGCGUAAGUGACGGUACCUACAGAAAAAGCACCGGCUAACUACGUG